UAUGGCGGGGAGAUAUGUCUUGAACCCUGUCAGAUCCGAAAGGAAGCAGCAGUAAAAGUCCUCUGUCUCCGCCGCCUAUAAA
rfam:Candidate division TA06 bacterium 34_109 MPJ_scaffold_14, whole genome shotgun sequence.